UUCUGGCUCAGGAUGAACGCUGGCGGCGUGCUUAACACAUGCAAGUCGAACGGGGUAUAGAAGAAAUUUCGAAUGGAAUCUAUACUUAGUGGCGGACGGGUGAGUAACGCGUGGGUAACCUGCCGUAUGCAGGGGGACAACAGCCGGAAACAGCUGCUAAUACCGCAUAAGCCGACGGUGCCGCAUGGCACAGCCGGAAAAGAUUUUAUCGGCAUACGAUGGACCCGCGUCUGAUUAGCUUGUUGGGGGGUAACGGCCCACCAAGGCGACGAUCAGUAGCCGAACUGAGAGGUUGAUCGGCCACAUUGGGACUGAGACACGGCCCAGACUCCUACGGGAGGCAGCAGUGGGGAAUAUUGCACAAUGGGGGGAACCCUGAUGCAAGCAACGCCGCGUGAGUGAUUGAAGUAUUUCGGUAUGUAAAGCUCUAUCAGCAGGGAAGAAAAUGACGGUACCUGACUAAGAAGCCCCGGCUAACUACGUGCCAGCAGCCGC
rnacentral:rRNA from 1 species